GGCGGCGUGCUUAACACAUGCAAGUCGAACGGAAAGGCCCUGCUUUUGUGGGGUGCUCGAGUGGCGAACGGGUGAGUAACACGUGAGUAACCUGCCCUUGACUUUGGGAUAACUUCGGGAAACUGGGGCUAAUACCGGAUAGGAGCUCCUGCUGCAUGGUGGGGGUUGGAAAGUUUCGGCGGUUGGGGAUGGACUCGCGGCUUAUCAGCUUGUUGGUGGGGUAGUGGCUUACCAAGGCUUUGACGGGUAGCCGGCCUGAGAGGGUGACCGGCCACAUUGGGACUGAGAUACGGCCCAGACUCCUACGGGAGGCAGCAGUGGGGAAUAUUGCACAAUGGGCGGAAGCCUGAUGCAGCAACGCCGCGUGCGGGAUGACGGCCUUCGGGUUGUAAACCGCUUUCGCCUGUGACGAAGCGUGAGUGACGGUAAUGGGUAAAGAAGCACCGGCUAACUACGUGCCAGCAGCCGCGGUGAUACGUAGGGUGCGAGCGUUGUCCGGAUUUAUUGGGCGUAAAGGGCUCGUAGGUGGUUGAUCGCGUCGGAAGUGUAAUCUUGGGGCUUAACCCUGAGCGUGCUUUCGAUACGGGUUGACUUGAGGAAGGUAGGGGAGAAUGGAAUUCCUGGUGGAGCGGUGGAAUGCGCAGAUAUCAGGAGGAACACCAGUGGCGAAGGCGGUUCUCUGGGCCUUUCCUGACGCUGAGGAGCGAAAGCGUGGGGAGCGAACAGGCUUAGAUACCCUGGUAGUCCACGCUGUAAACGGUGGGUACUAGGUGUGGGGUCCAUUCCACGGGUUCCGUGCCGUAGCUAACGCUUUAAGUACCCCGCCUGGGGAGUACGGCCGCAAGGCUAAAACUCAAAGGAAUUGACGGGGCCCCGCACAAGCGGCGGAGCAUGCGGAUUAAUUCGAUGCAACGCGUAGAACCUUACCUGGGUUUGACAUGGAUCGGGAGUGCUCAGAGAUGGGUGUGCCUCUUUUGGGGUCGGUUCACAGGUGGUGCAUGGCUGUCGUCAGCUCGUGUCGUGAGAUGUUGGGUUAAGUCCCGCAACGAGCGCAACCCUUGUUCACUGUUGCCAGCACGUUAUGGUGGGGACUCAGUGGAGACCGCCGGGGUCAACUCGGAGGAAGGUGGGGAUGACGUCAAGUCAUCAUGCCCCUUAUGUCCAGGGCUUCACGCAUGCUACAAUGGCUGGUACAGAGAGUGGCGAGCCUGUGAGGGUGAGCGAAUCUCGGAAAGCCGGUCUCAGUUCGGAUUGGGGUCUGCAACUCGACCUCAUGAAGUCGGAGUCGCUAGUAAUCGCAGAUCAGCAACGCUGCGGUGAAUACGUUCCCGGGGCUUGUACACACCGCCCGUCAAGUCAUGAAAGUUGGUAACACCCGAAGCCGGUGGCCUAACCGUUGUGGGGGAGCCGUCGAAGGUGGGACUGGUGAUUAGGACUAAG
rnacentral:rRNA from 1 species